rnacentral:rRNA from 1 species
GACGAACGCUGGCGGCGUGCUUAACACAUGCAAGUCGAACGGUGAAGCGAGUGCUUGCACUCGUGGAUCAGUGGCGAACGGGUGAGUAACACGUGAGUAACCUGCCCAUCACUCUGGGAUAAGCACUGGAAACGGUGUCUAAUACUGGAUACGACCAACCCUUGCAUGGGGUGUUGGUGGAAAGAUUUAUCGGUGUUGGAUGGACUCGCGGCCUAUCAGCUUGUUGGCGGGGUAAUGGCACACCAAGGCGACGACGGGUAGCCGGCCUGAGAGGGUGACCGGCCACACUGGGACUGAGACACGGCCCAGACUCCUACGGGAGGCAGCAGUGGGGAAUAUUGCACAAUGGGCGAAAGCCUGAUGCAGCGACGCCGCGUGAGGGAUGACGGCCUUCGGGUUGUAAACCUCUUUCAGCAGGGAAGAAGCGAAAGUGACGGUACCUGCAGAAGAAGCACCGGCUAACUACGUG